GAUGAACGCUAGCUACAGGCUUAACACAUGCAAGUCGAGGGGUAACGAGAGGAAAGCUUGCUUUCCUUGUCGACGACCGGCGCACGGGUGAGUAACGCGUAUCCAACCUGCCCCCAACUAGGGAAUAACCUUGCGAAAGUAAGGCUAAUACCCUAUAAUUUCCUCAGAUGACAUCUGACGAGGAAUAAAGAUUUAUCGGUUGUGGAUGGGGAUGCGUCUGAUUAGCUUGUUGGCGGGGUAACGGCCCACCAAGGCAACGAUCAGGAGGGGUUCUGAGAGCAAGGUCCCCCACAUUGGAACUGAGACACGGGCCAAACUCCUACGGGAAGCAGAAGUAGGGAAUGUUGGUCAAUGGGCGGAAGCCUGAACCAGCCAAGUAGGGUACAGGAUGACGGCCCUAUGGGUUGUAAACUGCUUUUAUACAGGAAUAAAGUUAGCCACGUGUGGUUAUUUGUAGGUACUGAAUGAAUAAGGACCGGCUAAUUCCGUGCCAGCAGCCGCCGUAA
rnacentral:rRNA from 1 species